rnacentral:rRNA from 1 species
GGACUACCGGGGUAUCUAAUCCUGUUCGCUACCCACGCUUUCGCUUCUCAGCGUCAGUUACUUCCCAGAGACCCGCCUUCGCCACCGGUGUUCCUCCUGAUAUCUGCGCAUUUCACCGCUACACCAGGAAUUCCAGUCUCCCCUGAAGUACUCUAGCCCGCCCGUAUCGACUGCAAGCUCACGGUUGAGCCGUGAGUUUUCACAAUCGACGCGACGAACCGCCUACAAGCUCUUUACGCCCAGUAAUUCCGGACAACGCUCGCACCCUACGUAUUACCGCGGCUGCUGGCAC